UACGUAGGGUGCAAGCGUUAAUCGGAAUUACUGGGCGUAAAGCGUGCGCAGGCGGUGAUGUAAGACAGGUGUGAAAUCCCCGGGCUUAACCUGGGAACUGCAUUUGUGACUGCAUCGCUGGAGUGCGGCAGAGGGGAUGGAAUUCCGCGUGUAGCAGUGAAAUGCGUAGAUAUGCGGAGGAACACCGAUGGCGAAGGCAAUCCCCUGGGCCUGCACUGGACGC
rnacentral:rRNA from 1 species